GUUAGAACGGAGAAACCUGUCUUUAUACUAUGAUAGAAGGCUGUCAUUAGUGUUGCUCACAGUGUAGUUCAGCAUGACAGCAGUGAGAUUGAUCGACAAUUCAUCUAGGAAAACAUAAAUUGUGGGAUUUCGGAUAUUUCUCAUGUGUCUUCAUAAAACCAGCUAGCUGAUGUUUUCACUAAAGAACUUGGUAGUAAGUACUUUCAUGUUUUGGUUUGCAAGAUGGACAUGCG
rnacentral:misc_RNA from 1 species